rnacentral:rRNA from 1 species
GGACAAUGGGCGAAAGCGUGAUCCAGCACUGCCGCGUGUGUAAGAAGGCCUUCGGGUUUAAAGCACUUUGUCCGGAAAGAAAUCCGUCUGGUUAAUACCGGGAGGAAUGACGGUACCGGAAGAAUAAGCACCGGCUAACUACGUGCCAGCAGCCGCGGUAAUACGUAGGGUGCGAGCGUUUAUCGGAAUUACUGGGCGUAAAGCGUGCGCAGGCGGUUUUGCAAGACAGGUGUGAAAUCCCCGGGCUCAACCUGGGAACUGCACUUGUGACUGCAUGACUAGAGUGCGUCAGAGGGAGGUGGAAUUCCGCGUGUAGCAGUGAAAUGCGUAGAGAUGCGGAGGAACACCGAUGGCGAAGGCAGCCUCCUGGGAUGACACUGACGCUCAGGCACGAAAGCGUGGGGAGCAAACAGGAUUAGAUACCCUGGUAGUCCACGCCCUAAACGAUGUCAACUAGUUGUCGGGGAUUCA